AUUUUAUUUUGUGUUUUUGUUUUUCAAGACAGGGUUUCUCUGUGGCUUUGGGGGCUGUCGUGGAACUAGCUCUUGUAGACCAGGCUGGUCUCGAACUCACAGAGAUCUGCCUGCCUCUGCCUCCCGAGUGCUGGGAUUAAAGGCUUGUGCCACCACCGCCAAGCUAAACUAAAUUAAUUUUAUAUUUCCUCAUAUUAGUUGUUAAUUGCUGUGAAAUAGUGUAUUAUGAUGAAAUGGGGGGAGACUCAAAUCUUCAAAGCAUACAUUUAAUGUUUUUUUGAGGGGUUCCUCUCCCAAGUCUUAGUUGGGCCUAUUAGGGUCUUGUUUCUUCGGUUUCCUCACCGAUUAGCUAGAACAAAACAUUUGGUCUUUCCUGAAUAUUAUACCUGUUUACUCCAGAGUUGCUUUGUGAUUUAGAUGUGUUUCUUUACCUUUUGAGGUAAUGGAAGGAAAAGUAGCCAGAAGCUAGUUUGAAAAUCCUUACCACACCUUUAAUCAAAGCACUCCAGGAGGCAGAGGCAGGCAGAUCUCUGAGUUAGAAGCCCUCCCAGGACAGCCAGAGCCGCAUAGUGAGACCCUGUCUUGAAAAAGAAAACCGUUAUGGUUCAGCAUUGCUGAAUAUGCUCAAGCUGUUCUAACAUUCCCAUUGAAGAUUUAUCCCAGAAAGAGCUGGACAUUAUAGUAGCUUAUUGCAGCACUGGAAAGGCAGAGGCAAGCAGGUCUCUCUGUAUUCAAGGCCAUCCUGGUUUACAAAGAGAGUUCCAGGGCAGCCACAAGGAGACCCUGUCUCAAAACAAAAACAUUCUGCUGCCAAUUAAGCCAACCAGGAAGGUUCCUUUGCACCCUAGGGGGCCUGGCUUGCAAUGCUUGCAAAUAGCAGCCUUUUGUCCAUUCCUGCGUCCAAGAGGAAGUUGGAAACAAUUCUCCAGCGGCUAUUCAUGUCUCUGAUCUGGAAGCUAGCCCUAGUCUACACUCCAGACAGGUAUGUAGGGGAGCCCCAGGGCACACUGGCCACGGUUAAUUUAGGCCAGGUCAUCCUGUCAAUCCAAACCACAUCUCAGAGCAGAGGGGCCCCACCAAAUGGAAAGCAGGUGAAUUUGAAGGGGGAAAAUGGUGUGUGUGUGUGUGUGUGUGUGUGUGUGUGUGUGUGUGUGUGGUGUGUUUCCUCCACUCUAAAUGCCAUUGCCACCCUGAACUCCUGGGCUCGCUCUAUCAUCAUUGUCUUGUUCAACCACCCAAGCAGCUGGGAAGCGAGGUGUGUGCCGCUGCGCUGCGUCUGGCCAAAGGUUUUAUUUUUAGUGUUAGUGAAUUCAAACAGCCAACAUAGCCAGGUGUGCUGUAAGGCCAGCGACUGGCAGAUGUAAAACUGGAGGGCCCGGCAGGCAUUCCAAGCUAGCCUAGGCUAUACACCUGGACCUUUCUCCAAAAACAAGUGAGCACAUAAAAUAGAACAAGUCUGUAAGCAUGCUUCUAGACAGACCACAUAAGGUUGCUUGCUGAUGCACUGUAUUCCGAGGAGAAAGAGUUUUCCUUUCAUCUUCAUCCUCCUGACUUCAGUUGUUAGACCCUAGGAAAGCUGAGGCUUCCAGAAUCUUAGCCCAGGACCUCGGCCACCCCAAACACAGAAUGGAGGCGAAAGCUCGAUGCAAAUUGCAUGAGGCUUUAUUGUAGUUUAACGAGCUAACCCCAUGUUAGCUCGGGUCUUUGAUAGCACCCACCAUGGCAGAUGGCUAGCAAAGACGGCUCCUAGGGGCUCCCGAAAGAUCUUAUAGGGCAGCAUAAGGGGAGUGUCUAGGGGUAUGCACAGGCUCAGGAUUGGUGUGCCUCCAGGCUUGGAGGGCUUGCCCUGUGUUUAUUGGUCAACUGGUUGCUAUGCUUUGUGCGCCAUUGCCGUGCACUUGUCCGUAAAGCACACCCAGAGCCGUAAAGCAUAGCGCCAUCAGCUAACUUCUGAUUGGUUCCUUGCCACGAGGCAGGCAUCUGACUUCUAGUGACUAGGACAAGGUCUUGGCAAGCAUGUGUUACUGUCAUGGCUGCUGAAAGGAGCAGCUGGUCCCUUCAAUGAAUGUUUUGUCCGUAUGUGUAUAUUGAGGUUACUUACAGGAAUAUGGGUGAGGGAUUACUUACAGGAGCCCCUUACUGUUUAUGUGCCUGCUGCUGGUGGUAGAAGCCAGCAGAGGGCACCGGGCCUCUGGAACUGGGGUUAGGAUGGUUAUGCGACACCACGUGAGUUCUGGGACUCAAACCCAGGUCCUCUGUGAGAGAGCCUCCGGUGAUCUUUCCACUGAGCCAUCUCUCUAGCAUCUCCUUCCAAUUUCACAGGAAUUUAUUCAGCACAUACUAUGAGCAAGGUGUUUGCUGCUGACUCUUAAAAUACAAUAGUGAAUAAAAACUCUUGGCCCAGCCGGGCAGUGGUGGUGCACACCUUUGAUCCCAGCACUCGGGAGGCAGAGGCAGGAGGAUCUCUGUGAGUUUGAGACCAGUCUGGUUUACAGAGUGAGCUCCAAGAUAGACUCCAAAGAAACCCUGUCUAGAAAAAAACAAACACAAAACAAAACAAACUCUUGGCCCAGCAUAGAGUUCCAGGACAGCCAGGGCUACACAGAGAAACCCUGUCUCAAAAAAGAAAGAGAGAGGAGAGAGAGAGAGAAGAGAGGAAAGAGAAGAAAGGAAGAAAGAGUGAGUCAAACCUGAUGGUUGUUGUGUAACAGCCUGUGAUGAAAACUUUCCUUUUUUUUGUUUUUUUGUUUUGUUUUGUUUUUCGAGACAGGGUUUCUUUAUGUAGCUUUGGAGCCUAUCCUGGCACUCGCUCUGGAGACCAGGCUGGCCUCGAACUCACAGUGAUCUGCCUGCCUCUGCCUUGAGAGUGCUGGAAUUAAAAGCAUGCACCAACAAGGCUCAGCAAAACUUUCCAUCUUGUAGGGGCUCUUUAAGCAAAGAGCCAAACAGCAAGAAACACCUUCAAGAACUCCCUGGAACUGGGCAGAUUCCCUAGGCCCCUUCCUGCUAGAGACUGCAGAGCCCAGCUGUAAGGAAGACUCUGGGCCACCUGAGUUGCCUGGAAGAGGUUUAGACCAACCAAGGCACCUGGAAAGGACACUCUCCAACCUGCUGAGCUGCCUGCAGGCUUUGCAGUGUGCUUCAGGUUCCCAGCUUUGGAGCUGUCAGCCAUGCUGGGGUGGACCUUGGGGAUGCAGCUGUCUUUGAGUCAUUUCUGCUUCUAUAUAAUGGACAUUGUUUAUACUUUGACCAUCGGAUGUACCGUUUUGAGGGAACUACAACAGCAAUGCACAAGAACAACAGAGGAUCUUUCUCUAACAGUGGUGACAGUGACAGUAGCUCCAGGGCCAGUGCUUCCAGUGGCAGCGUCCAUUGCUGCCCUCCAAUGCUGUGAUGCUAGCUGGCUGUCCCUACUUGCUGAGAACAGUGUUGGUAUCCUCACCAGGCCAGUCCUACGAUGUGACUUUAGCUAUUGUUUCCAGAUGCUUUCCAUCCUUGUGUCCCACCUCUUCUUGCAUUUAUGUGAACUUCUAAUGUAAAAAUUCAUUUCUGCUUAAAUUAGAAGCUUAAUAAGUAAAUUGUUAGGUCGGGCAGUGGUGGCACAUGCCUUUACUCCCAGCACUGGGGAGGCAGAGGCAGGUGGAUCUCUGUGAGUUUGAGACCAGCCUAAUCUACAAGAGCUAGUUCCAGAACAGUCUCCAAAGUCACAGAGAAACCCUGUCUCGAAAAACCAAAAUAAAGGGGGGCUGGAGAGAUGGCUCAGAGGUUAAGAGCACUGACUGCUCUUCCAGAGGUCCUGAAUUUAGUUCCCAGCAACCACAUGGUGGCUCACAACCAUCCAUUAUGAGAUCUGGUGCCCUCUUCUGGUGUGCAGAUAUACAUGGAAGCAGAAUGUUGUAUACAUAAUAAAUAAAUUUUAUAAAAGUAAA
ensembl:lncRNA